rnacentral:rRNA from 1 species
CAGCAGCCACGGUAAUACGAAGGGUGCAAGCGUUAAUCGGAAUUACUGGGCGUAAAGCGUGCGUAGGCGGUUUGUUAAGUCUGUUGUGAAAUCCCCGGGCUCAACCUGGGAAUGGCGAUGGAUACUGGCAAGCUAGAGUGUGUCAGAGGAUGGUGGAAUUCCCGGUGUAGCGGUGAAAUGCGUAGAGAUCGGGAGGAACAUCAGUGGCGAAGGCGGCCAUCUGGGACAACACUGACGCUGAGGCACGAAAGCGUGGGGAGCAAACAGGAUUAGAUACCCCUGUAGUCCCUGUCUCUUAUAC